GCUUAGAGGUCGUCGUGGGAAAGAGCUCUUCCCUUCCAUCCGAUCUCGUCAUGUGGCCGAGCCUCGCCAUCGUUUUUAACCCUUGCUGGCGAAGUGGCGGAUGGAGCCCGGCUUUCUUAGGAGCCCGGGCGAAGUCUUUCUUGGGGAUGGAACCCGGCUCCCGUCGGAGUCCGGGUGAAGUUUACCGUGGCGGCGGAAUCCGGCUCCCGUAGGAGUCCGGGUGAAGCUUUCCUGGCGGCGGAACCUGGCUCCCGUAGGAGUCCGGGUGAAGUUUACCUUGACGGCGGAACCCGGCUCCCGUAGGAGUCCGGGUGAAGCUUUACAUGGCGGCGGAACCCAGCUCCCGUAGGAGUCCGGGUGAAGCUUUACCUUGGCGGCGGAACCCGGCUCCCGUAGGAGUCCGGGUGAAGCUUUACCUUGGCAGCGGAACCCGGCUCCCGUAGGAGUCCGGGUGGAGCUUUACAUGGCGGCAGAAUCCGGCUCCCGUAGGAGUCCGGGUGAAGCUUUACCUUGGCGGCGGAACCCGGCUCCCGUAGGAGUCCGGGUGAAGCUUUACCUGGCGGCNN
rnacentral:lncRNA from 1 species